rnacentral:rRNA from 1 species
AUUGAACGCUGGCGGCAUGCCUUACACAUGCAAGUCGAACGGCAGCACGGGUGCUUGCCCCUGGUGGCGAGUGGCGAACGGGUGAGUAAUACAUCGGAACAUGUCCUGUAGUGGGGGAUAGCCCGGCGAAAGCCGGAUUAAUACCGCAUACGAUCUACGGAUGAAAGCGGGGGACCUUCGGGCCUCGCGCUAUAGGGUUGGCCGAUGGCUGAUUAGCUAGUUGGUGGGGUAAAGGCCUACCAAGGCGACGAUCAGUAGCUGGUCUGAGAGGACGACCAGCCACACUGGGACUGAGACACGGCCCAGACUCCUACGGGAGGCAGCAGUGAGGAAUUUUGGACAAUGGGCGAAAGCCUGAUCCAGCAAUGCCGCGUGUGUGAAGAAGGCCUUCGGGUUGUAAAGCACUUUUGUCCGGAAAGAAAUCCUUGGCCCUGAUACGGUCGGGGGAUGACGGUACCGGAAGAAUAAGCACCGGCUAACUACGUG